GAUGAACGCUGGCGGCGUGCCUAAUACAUGCAAGUCGAGCGAACAGACGAGGAGCUUGCUCCUCUGACGUUAGCGGCGGACGGGUGAGUAACACGUGGAUAACCUACCUAUAAGACUGGGAUAACUUCGGGAAACCGGAGCUAAUACCGGAUAAUAUAUUGAACCGCAUGGUUCAAUAGUGAAAGACGGUUUUGCUGUCACUUAUAGAUGGAUCCGCGCCGCAUUAGCUAGUUGGUAAGGUAACGGCUUACCAAGGCAACGAUGCGUAGCCGACCUGAGAGGGUGAUCGGCCACACUGGAACUGAGACACGGUCCAGACUCCUACGGGAGGCAGCAGUAGGGAAUCUUCCACAAUGGGCGAAAGCUUGACGGAGCAACGCCGCGUGAGUGAUGAAGGUCUUCGGAUCGUAAAACUCUGUUAUUAGGGAAGAACAAAUGUGUAAGUAACUAUGCACGUCUUGACGGUACCUAAUCAGAAAGCCACGGCUAACUACGUG
rnacentral:rRNA from 1 species